AAAUGCCUACCUCCAGUCAAGGGCAAGAUAAACAACUGGACGCUUUAUUCAAAAAACCUCAGGCUGAGACGAGGAGAGAGGAGAACAAUAACAACCAAAUAUAAACUCUUCGGUGAAGAAGCAAAAGAUGGACAGCAGAGACACAUGAAGGCAUAAUUGGCCCCUUCAGAGACCGAGGAACACACAAUCAGCGAGUGUACAGGAGGCAGACUGACACAGCCAGAAAAGGCUUACAGCUCCUGAGCGAACUGCAAAGAAGGACAUUUACAGGAAAUAUAAAUUCGUCACACUGAGCUGUGAUGUGCACGGAAAAAUAAUGAAAAAAGAAGCAGAGACUUUCAGUGUUAUGUUAGAACUGUUUUUUUCCCCCACAUAUAAAUUUGUUAUUAUUUAAACUUUCAUUUCUUUGAGCAACAGGAAGAUGGUUUCUGCAGAAAGUGCAACCGUUGAUUUAAAAAACACAAUUUCAUUCUACUGACUCCGCAGUAGGGGACUGCAGAAAUCAGAUAAAAGCAAAAUGACCUGGGAAGUCAACACUGCAUCAGCAACAUGUUUCUGAUAUCAUUCAGGAGUGGUCCAAUCCUCCAAGCUAGUUUGCUUAACCUCAAACAUGGAUAGGAGCAAUUCAACUAGCCAAACAAAUUGGACUUUGGGAUUUAGAAGAACUCAGAAACAGAUGAGAUUGCCUAUGGAAUCAUCAGGCCAUGCAGCACCCAGCACAAUUGCUUCAUUUAGCCUGACGAUCUGCCGAGAGCUGCUCUGUAAUAACACGGGCAGGACCUGAGUGGGAGUGACUGGCUGCACUGCAGCCGAACUCUUCCCCGAUGAAAGACGUCAUCUAUCUCCUUUGAAGCUUUGUUAAUGUCCACUGUAUUAAAAAUCUCUCCAUCCUUUGUCUUAAAAGCUUUUCAUCCUUUAGCC